rnacentral:rRNA from 1 species
GUAUGCUUAUAAUACGUAAAACCUGCUCAAUGAAAUCUUAAAUAGCCGCAGUACAAUGUGCUAAGGUAGCAUAAUAAUUUGCCUUAUAAUUAAAGGCCGGAAUGAACGGUUUAACAUAUGGAUUUCUUUAUUAAAAUGGAUCCUUUAACUUUACAUAUAAGUAAAAAGGCUUAUAUAAUAAGAGGGACGACAAGACCCUGUCGAGCUUAACUUCAGUUUAACUGGGGCGGUCAAAAACAAAUUCUUUAAUUCACAUUUAAUAUCAUCCCUUUAUAAGGAAAAAAACAAGUUACCGCAGGGAUAACAGCAUAAUUCUUUUUAUAAGAUCCUAUUUUAAAAAGAGAUUGUGACCUCGAUGUUGAAUUAUUUCAUCUUUUAGGAGCAGAACCUUAAAAAGAAAGUCUGUUCGACUUUUAAAAAUUUACAUGAUUUGAGUUCAGACCGGCGCAAGCCAGGUCGGUUUCUAUCUUCUUAUAUUUAUUUUCAGUACGAAAGGACCAAAGUAAAAGCAAUUUGCUUUUACUUUUAGCAAAAA